rnacentral:misc_RNA from 1 species
GAUGAAGAACGUAGUGAAAUGCGAUAAGUAAUGUGAAUUGCUGAAUUCAGUGAAUCAUCGAAUCUUUGAACGCACCUUGCGCUCCUUGGUAUUCCAAGGAGCAUGCCUGUUUGAGUAUCAUUAAAUUAUCAACUGUGCCAAUUUGGUUACAGAUUGGAUGUGGGAGAUUCUUUUUGCAGGCCUUUGACUUCUCUUUGAGAAAAAAAUAAAAGGUCGGCUCUCCUGAAAUGUAUUAGCAGUGCCUGUGUUGGUUCAUUAGGUGUGAUAAAUUGUCUACAUCUUCACAUGAUACCUUCAUUUGUAAAGGUUAUAUUGCUUCUAAAUUGUCUUUGAUUGGACGCAAAACAUAUAUAAUGUUUGACAAACUUGAUCUCAAAUCAGGCAGGACUACCCGCUGAACUUAAGCAUAUCAAUAAGCGGAGGA